AGUCUUUUGGUAAUCAAGACAUGUGGGCAAGACUGAGCAGACUGCUUGGGAGAGAGAAUGGAGAACGUGGGGAGACUAUAGACAGGUUGAAGGAAGCUAGCCUUCUGUCUUAGUGUAAAACAUGGAGAAGUAAAUGGUUCUAGAGAAGGCACAGUCUAUGGAACUGAUUCUGGGAAGGAGCACUACUAUCUUAAGAGGAAUUCAGAUGUACCCAGGUAUUGUGGAUUCUGACGAUCAGGGGAAAUCAAGAUUAUGACAUCUGUCUGACAAGGGGUUGUGGCCAUUCCUCAAGGUGAGGACAAACCUAUUUGGAUCCUGGAACCAGUAGAUAGCACCUUCAAAGGAAGCAAUAAUGAAACUAUGGAUGGGAAUGAUGACGGUCAGCAUCCUGGUGAGUCUCACUCAAGCGGAGCAAGGAACCCCCCCAAUAUUAAUGCUAGUGAGCCAGAUUAGUCCUUUAUAUCCAUCUUUUUAUUCUACCAAUUGUUAGAACAAGCUCCUGUUAAUGCCACCUUUUCUCUUCAGUUUUGUUAAGGUACAGAAUCACUCUUAAAAUUCUUCAUUUUUACAUUACUGCCUAAUACUCAGUAAUGCUUCCAUGGCUGAUUUUACUCCAAAUGCUACAUCUAGCAAGGCUGUGGGAUUAAGAAAUAUUUGGUAUUCCAUGAAUAAGGACACAUGAUCACGGACCUACCCCAGCUCCCUGUUGCUGGCCUACAGCAGCCAAGUUUGAUCUACAAGGAGCUUUGCUUAGGGGAGAGUGUAUCAGCCAAAGUCCAGAUUUGUUAAGAGGUGGUAUUAACAUGUGGUGGUAGGGCCAUGGGCCUGCUGACUUUGGAAUAGUGCUUUCGGGGAGGGAGGUGUUGUUCUUGAUUGUUCUUCCAGAGACUGCAGCCCGAGCAGUUGCUGGGAUGGAAGCUCCUCGGCUGCCCUGUUAGUUCCUGUACCAGCCAUCAUUCCUUUGCCGGUCCGAGAAAAGGCCAUUCGAACAGAAGUGACCCUGUAUCGAGAUCGGAAUAAUAGCUUCUGUGGUUGUGGUCAUUACAGUCUCUGCUGCCACUGCGACAGUUGCUGGACUGACAAUGGCCCAAACGUCUCUUGUGGCGGACACUGUGGCUAGAUUGGCAGGACAAGUUAGCAAGGUCCUUCAAACACACACUGCCUUGAAUUUUCACAUCAAAUUUGAACUUUUACAUUUAAAUCAGCAAACUACCUUAUUGCAAGAGCAAUAAAUUAUGGAUAAUUC